CAUUUGAAAAAGGUAAGUGCUCGUUUUCCGCCGUUAAAUGAUGCAUGCAGCCUAAUUUUGGAUCGAGAAUUAAGUGCGACGAAGAUGGCCGUAAUAGUUCUACUACUUUAAGAACACGGGUCAGAUUUGGACAACGACUUCGAAGGCAUUCGCAGUAGACCAAACAGAGAAAGAGAGGGAGACACAUAACCACCUGUCUCGGUGUCACACAUGAGGAGUUGAGGAGGAGAUGAAGUCGGUGAAUAUGACCUGGCCUGGGGGAGUUUCCAGAAGAAGGCCCAGAAUCGCCGGAUGCCAGGAGUGGAGAUCCUUCGUUGCUGCCCUACAUGCUAGGAGGCAUCGGGCAGUAGAUGCUGUAAUUUGAAACGGAAGGUGUCCUGCCAAUAAAUUUUCAUCCCAUCUGAACUGCCUUGCCUGCCUGGACCCAGUCAUCUGUUCCUGAGCAUUUUCAUUCUAUUUUUCAUCAUCGUUCUUUUCGGCCUGUAUGAAGUGAAUUUCACAUUGAUUGGUGGAGCUGCUAAGUUGGCAUUACAGGGCCACGCCGGGGUAUGAUCCCUGGGGUUGAACAUCAUGACUGCUAGUUGGUCUGUGAAGGUGAUGGGAUGGAUCAAUGUCGCAUGGAGUAAGAUCGAUACCAAUCUGCUUUGCUACAUUUCGAACAAUCUCAUACGGAUACGGAUAUUAUUGCGACAGGAGUACUGUUCGAUGUGGUCAAGCCUAUUUGACAAAGCAUUAUGGUGUUAGUCACGUUAUCAGAAAUUUUUCAAAAUCACGGAGUUGCUUCAAUUUAGUAUCGAUAGAUAUUUCAAGAACGUGUAGACGAGUGAGCUUUUCAUCAAGAAUUUCACGCAAUUUAUUUUCGCGCUUAUCCAUAUCAUCAUUGAGUUUUUGUCUAUCGCGUUCCAUUGACACGGCCACCGCUCUUUGAACGACUGUAUCAAUAUGAUCUAGGUAUGCUGGGCUUUGUUUAGAUCCAGUUAAUGAUGAAACAGAGGAUUGUGUACAUGUGUUAGCCGAGUGCAAGCGGCCUCUUGAUCUGGUGGAUAUCUUAGACAUGUUGUUAGAGAUUACGUAAUGAUAUAAUUGAAAAGUGGGAUAGGCUGUGCAUCUGCCAACUCACCAGUCAACCGAUUAGAGACGGCCUUCCAAAGUGACACAGCACGAAAAUAUCAAUAUGGGACUGGUCUAGUCAACACAUAGAUCCUGAAAAAAACCAUGGAGACCGCAGACGCAAAAUGACUUCCAUACAUAAAGAUAUGAUGCACAAUUUCCAGUGGGUUCAAAACACUGAACGCAUGCUAUGCUGAUACACAGACUAUUUUAAGAACUUUAUCAAGCAUAGGAAAUCUGGUAUGAAAUCUCUCAGCUCACAUAAAAAGCCUAUGUAGCUACAUGUAGGGAAGAAAAUGUGUAAUUGCUGAGAAAUGAGCAAAAUAAGCAUGUAAUUCUAUCAAAUGUCAGGUAUUUUUCGAAUCGAUUAUAAUACACUGUCCCACAUAUGCUUUUCUGUGUUUAGAGCGAUCAUCAGAAUUAUCAAUUUUAAGUAAAAAAAUUCAUGAUUUUACAAAGAUACAAGUUUACAUUAAUGAACCAAAUGUAGAUAAUGUACAAUAUAUUGACAAUUAACUUUGAUUUUAUAGAUUUUCUCAAGAAAUAAUUGUUUGCUGCAACUACUGUCUUUUCCUUCUAUGUGAUAGUGUAAUACAACAGUUCCACAAACUAUUUUCAUCAGACUUAUUAAAGGAGAAUGAAACCCUUGAAACCAGCUGAAUCCAUAUCAAAGAGGAAAAUCAAAGAAACAUAUUGUUGAAAGUUUGAGGAAGAUUGAAUGAAUAAUAAGAAAGUUAUGAGCAUUCGAAUAUUGAGAUCACUAGUGCCAUGUAGAUCCUCCCAACGGCAAUGCGACCAAGAUCUGUGAUAUCACACACGUACAACUCCCUCAUUACUUUAGUACUUAUUUCACUUAUAUUCUCACUUUUAUAGAGUCUAUCACAAGGUGAGGUGUUCUCUUUAUGAGAUGACAAGUACAGAGGUUUCACAACAUUAUAUCAUUGAUGAAUCGUUUGUCAUAUGAUUAGAAUGAGCAAAAAGAGAUGUUUUGGGGUAUAUUUUCAGUGUCCAAAUGGGAGAGUUGUACGUGUGUGACAUCACAGAUCUUGGUCGCAUUGCCAAUGGGAGGAUCUCCAUAGCAUUAGUGAUCUCGACAUUCAAAUGCUCAUAACUCUUUUAUUGCUAGUCCUAUUUUUCUCAAAGUUUUGUUGAUCUUAUUCUUUGAUUUUUCUGCUUUCACAAAAGCUAACUUGCUCCAAGAGUUUCAUUCUCCUUUAAUGUAUGAUUCUUUCACCCAAAUGCAAGCUUCAAUAAAUCCUGAAAACUUUGCAACUCAGGUUUUUUUUUUUUA